CGGCCGCCGGGGGGGCGCCUCUGCCCCCCGGGCCCGUGCCCGCCGGAGACCCCAACACGAACACUGUCUGAAAGCGUGCAGUCUGAGUUGAUUGAAUGCAAUCAGUUAAAACUUUCAACAAUGGAUCUCUUGGUUCCGGCAUCGAUGAA
rnacentral:misc_RNA from 1 species